CGCUGCUGCUUCUUCAGCAGAGCUAGUCCCUUUGAGCUUAAUCUUCUUCACUCCUAAGCAGCCAAGUAGCACGCCUAUUCAGCCAUUAAAACCACCUGAAAAUACCUCAAAACCCAGCUGUCUCGGCCAUGAAAACCAGUCCCCAAAGCUUCAAACAACAGCCCAAAAACGAGCUGAAAAUAAGCCUCCAAACCAGCCCUUUUCUCAGUAAAAAAAAAGACUCUGAAACAGCCCUAAACGACCUCUUCAAAUGCAGCAAAAGACCAGCUGCGAACAGCCCUAAAAUCCAGCUCUAAUAUACCCAGAAACUAACCGAAAAACAGCAACUAAAUCUGCUCAAAAUAGCUCCAAAACGAGCUGAAAAACACUCCUCAAAAUAGCUUCAAAAAUGACCUGAAAAACUGGUCCAAACCCAGCUGAAAUUUUGCCACAAAACAGCCAUGAAACGAGUUGGAGUUCACACAAAAAUCCAGCUCAAAAAACUUCAGCACAACAGCUUCAAAAACCAGUCUAAAAAUAAAUGAAAACCCAGUGAAUCAACCUCACAAUGUUCGUGCUAUGGGUCUGUGAAAGGGUCGAGCCCGUCGAGGUCGACGUGGAAGUUUUCUGGUCAAUGGUUCCUGUUGGUUGAGUUCAUUUGCUGCUCAUUUUUGGUCGUUGUCUCUGUUCUGUUAAGUUGCAAAUACUCAACCUCAAAUACAAUUAAAGGUCCACUCUCUUUCUCCCUUCUUUUAGUUAUGUCAUGAUUUGAAUGGUGUUUUUUCUUUU
rnacentral:lncRNA from 1 species